rnacentral:rRNA from 1 species
UGGGGGAUAUUGCACAAUGGGGGGAACCCUGAUGCAGCGACGCCGCGUGAAGGAAGAAGUAUUUCGGUAUGUAAACUUCUAUCAGCAGGGAAGAAAAUGACGGUACCUGACUAAGAAGCCCCGGCUAACUACGUGCC